rnacentral:lncRNA from 1 species
GAAAUGUAGACGCGGAGGCCUAUGGGAAAUGUAGUUUUAAAUAGGUGAGGUUCACCGCCUGGACUCUGGGAAGGGGACGCCACGCUCCUUCUGCGCAUGUGCAGCCGUAGCCUCCUCGUUCGUCUUCUCAGGACUCCAGAGAACCGUUGGGGAACUUUGGGGUGUGCUCGGAAAAUGCAGGAGCUUCAGAGCAGAGACAAGAGCCCAGAAAGGAGCAGAUGCUAGAUUUGCAAGAUCAGAAGCAGGUCUUGAUCCUCCUGCCCAGAAUGAACCAGACUUGAUGAUGAUGCCACCUUCAGGAGCCACCACACUGUGUGACAGUGGGGCAUUUGGGCCGUCCCUGGGAAGUACAGAUGCGCUGCUGUCACACAUGUCCACCACCACAUGUGACAUUAGUGACGUUAUCCUGAUGUCACAGGAUCCAAGAAUGAUGAUCUGUGAAGAGUUUUCCGAGGUCACCUACUUCUAACUCUUUUGAAAGAUUUAAAGACAUUGGGCCUGAAAAUUUCAGUGACUUGUCCAGGGAAACGCAGUUUGUGACAGUUCACUCUCUCACAGCUGAACCACAGUCCUCUGUACUCGCCCAGGAGCCACAGAAGUGAACAUCCCUCAGGGAGGAGAGUCUAAGGGAAGAGCUCACUCCGCCGUGAUGCUGAUGUCAUGCCUGGUCAUUCUAUUUUUAAGUUUUUGAGGAAUCUCUG